UGGCAGAUUAGUCAGAUCCUCCCUGUAGUGACGUCAUGUUAUUGGUAGCCUAUCUCCCCGCAGGGAGGUGUGUUUAAAUGGCUGUUUGGUGCGGGCCGGAGGUGCGUCAUCUGUUCUGUGCCUGCGCUCUUCCUGUUUACCGGCAUUCAACAGAGGUCUGUGGUUAAAACACAGCCGUUUGGGCAUUUUAACACCGCUUGUGUUAUUUCUGUGGGGCUUUGCGUGCACUGGAGAGUCUAUUGUAAACAACCGUUACGUGCGGUCUGGCUCGUUACACUGCCUAGUCCCAGCAUUCCCGUGUGUUUACCGGUUGAGUGGGGAUAUCCAAUAUAUGCUGUUUGGCAUCUACUUCAUUUCUAUCCCGUGGAUACUGACGUCAGCUCUGCUUUCUGGUGUGGCGAACGGCUGCGUUAUUUGGAGCUGUGUGUCCGACGGCAGUGAGGCUUUCCUUCACCGUGUGCUGUGUUAUGCUGUGUGAGCACCACUGAUAAAAUCACGGGUAUUGGAG